CAUGGCAAUCCUCCUGCUCAGCCUCCCAAGCGCUGGGAUUACAGGGUCCCCAGAGCCAGAGCCAGCCCCCAGUUGGAGCAGCAGGAAGCACCAUGGGUCCUGCCGCUCCAGAGCUUUGAGGCCAGGACAGUCCUGAGGGGAAGUCACCCAGAAGUCAGCAGGAUCCUUUAAAAUUCUACAUCAGGGCUGGGACGUAGCGCAGUGGGAGAGUGCUUCCCAGCACGGCUGCACUGCCAUGGGACUUCAGGACAGUUUCCCCACAGUCUGCAUUUCCUUUCACUUCAGCUCACCGGACAUUAACUGAGAGCCUUCCUCACACUGGUCCCACACCAGACCUGCAAGAGGGCCAUGUUUCAAAGCUGUUUAACUUCAGGCAGAUUACUUCACCUCGCUGACCCUUCCUUGUUUGUCUGUAAAACGAGGGUAAUCGCAGUCCCUUCUUCAUAGAGUGGGACUAGGAUUAACGAGGUAACACAUGUAAAACUCUUUGCACAGCACCUGGUAUCUUGUAUCUGCCCCGUAAAUGUCAAGGACAACAAUAAUUAUGAUAAGAUUUGCCUUGGAGGAAGUUGUAGUUUAAUGCGGGACUUGAACAAGAGUUAUCUAGGUAGGGCUGGGGAUAUAGCUCAGCAGCAUAAGUGCCUGCCUGGCAAGCACAAGGUCCUGAGUUCGAUUCCCGGUAACAAAAAAAAACAAAAAAACAAAAAAAGAGUUAUCUAGGUAAAGAAAGAUAGGCAAAUAUUUGGGAAAAAGGAGAGGAGCAGUUUAACUAAAAUUAAAAGGCUGAGUUAGGGAGUUAGGAGACUAAGUUACAGUUUAGACUUAUCCACUAAAACGUAGUGGUGUUGACAUAUGCCUAUAAUCCCAGCCUCCUUCGAGGCUGAGGCAGGAGGACUGCAAGUUCC